rnacentral:misc_RNA from 1 species
GAAAUGUGAUAAGUAAUGUGAAUUGCAGAAUUCAGUGAAUCAUCGAAUCUUUGAACGCACCUUGCGCUCCUUGGUAUUCCUUGGAGCAUGCCUGUUUGAGUAUCAUGAAAUCUUCAAAGUAAAUCUUUUGUUAACUCAAUUGGUUUCUACUUUGGUAUUGGAGGUCUUUGCAGCUUCACACCUGCUCCUCUUUGUUCAUUAGCUGGAUCUCAGUGUUAUGCUUGGUUCCACUCGGCGUGAUAAGUUAUCUAUCGCUGAGGACACUGUAAAAGGUGGCCAAGGUAAAUGCAGAUGAACCGCUUCUAAUAGUCCAUUGACUUGGACAAUACUUUUAUGAUCUGAUCUGAAAUCAGGUAGGACUACCCGCUGAACUUAAGC